CUAUUGAAAUAGCAAACCCAAGGAGACUUGGGGACGCAAAGCCACGGGUCCUAUGCGGAUAGCCGGGUUGCCGAA
rnacentral:ncRNA from 1 species